GCCCGGGUGGUCUAGUGGUAUGAUUCUCGCUUAGUAAGUCUCCAGCUCACAUUUGACUAAUAAAGGUUCUAACCAUCUCCAGGGGUUUACCCUUAGCAUGUUUGCGAGAGGUCCCGCGUUCGAUCCGCGGCUCGGGCC
rnacentral:tRNA from 1 species